rnacentral:rRNA from 1 species
AAGCGGCAACAGCUCAAAUUUAAAAGCUGGCUCCUUCGGAGUCCGCAUUGUAAUUUGUAGAGGAUGAUUCGGCGAGGGCUCCCGCCUAAGUCCACUGGAACGUGGCGUCAUAGAGGGUGAGAAUCCCGUAUGCGGUGGGUUGCCUUAGCCAUGUGAAUCUCCUUCGACGAGUCGAGUUGUUUGGGAAUGCAGCUCUAAAUGGGAGGUAAAUUUCUUCUAAAGCUAAAUACCGGCCAGAGACCGAUAGCGCACAAGUAGAGUGAUCGAAAGAUGAAAAGCACUUUGGAAAGAGAGUUAAAAAGUACGUGAAAUUGUUGAAAGGGAAGGGCUUGCAACCAGACUUGUCCGCAGUUGCUCAGCCGGUCUCCUGACCGGCGUACUCUUCUGCGGCCAGGCCAGCAUCAGUUCGGGCGGUCGGAUAAAGACCUAGGGAAUGUAGCUCCUCUCGGGGAGUGUUAUAGCCCUGGGUGGAAUGCGACCAGCCUGGACUGAGGAUCUCGCUUCGGCAAGGAUGCUGGCGUAAUGGUUGUAAGCCGCCCGUCUUGAAACACGGACC